rnacentral:rRNA from 1 species
UACGGGGGGAGCAAGCGUUGUUCGGAUUUACUGGGCGUAAAGGGCGCGUAGGCGGUAGCACAAGUCAGUUGUGAAAUCUCCGGGCUUAACUCGGAAAGGUCAACUGAUACUGUGCGACUAGAGUGCAGAAGGGGCAACUGGAAUUCUCGGUGUAGCGGUGAAAUGCGUAGAUAUCGAGAGGAGCACCUGCGGCGAAGGCGGGUUGCUGGGCUGACACUGACGCUGAGGCGCGAAAGCAUGGGGAGCGAACAGG